AGCAGUAGCCACGGUAACACGUAGGGUGCAAGCGUUAAUCGGAAUUACUGGGCGUAAAGCGUGCGCAGGCGGUUCGGAAAGAAAGAUGUGAAAUCCCAGAGCUUAACUUUGGAACUGCAUUUUUAACUACCGGGCUAGAGUGUGUCAGAGGGAGGUGGAAUUCCGCGUGUAGCAGUGAAAUGCGUAGAUAUGCGGAGGAACAACGAUGGCGAAGGCAGCCUCCUGGGAUAACACUGACGCUCAUGCACGAAAGCGUGGGGAGCAAACAGGAUUAGAUACCCGGGUAGUCCCUGUCUCUUAUAC
rnacentral:rRNA from 1 species